CUCGGAGUUUGAUCCUGGCUCAGAUUGAACGCUGGCGGAAUGCUUUACACAUGCAAGUCGAACGGUAGAGGGGGCAACCCCUCGAGAGUGGCGAACGGGUGAGUAAUAUAUCGGAACGUGCCCAGUCGUGGGGGAUAACGUAGCGAAAGUUACGCUAAUACCGCAUACGAUCUAAGGAUGAAAGCGGGGGUACCGUAAGGCCUCGCGCGAUUGGAGCGGCCGAUAUCAGAUUAGGUAGUUGGUGAGGUAAACGGCUCACCAAGCCAACGAUCUGUAGCUGGUCUGAGAGGACGACCAGCCACACGUGGGACUGACGACACGGG
rnacentral:rRNA from 1 species